UCCAGGAGCCAUAUCACCCUGCAGCUCACAGUCGGCACCCCACUGAAGCUCAACAGGUGUGAGCCUGGCCAGUACCUGGAUGGGAGACCUCCUGGGAAAAACAGGUUUCUGCUGCUGGAA
rnacentral:rRNA from 1 species